AACGAACGCUGGCGGCAUGCCUAACACAUGCAAGUCGAACGAGACCUUCGGGUCUAGUGGCGCACGGGUGCGUAACGCGUGGGAACCUGCCCUUAGGUUCGGAAUAACUCCCCGAAUGGGGUGCUAAUACCGGAUAAUUUCUUCUGACCAAAGAUUUAUCGCCUUUGGAUGGGCCCGCGUUGGAUUAGCUCGUUGGUAGGGUAAAAGCCUACCAAGGCGACGAUCCAUAGCUGGUCUGAGAGGAUGAUCAGCCACACUGGGACUGAGACACGGCCCAGACUCCUACGGGAGGAAGCAGUGGGGAAUAUUGGACAAUGGGCGAAAGCCUGAUCCAGCAAUGCCGCGUGAGUGAUGAAGGCCUUAGGGUUGUAAAGCUCUUUUACCCGGGAUGAUAAUGACAGUACCGGGAGAAUAAGCUCCGGCUAACUCCGUG
rnacentral:rRNA from 1 species